AGAUUUUAAAUUUUAGCGAAGGACACUUGUAAGUUCGCGGGAUUACAGUUUCAGCUCACAAAAUUUAGAAGUUCCUGUUUCUAUUCAAGAAGUUAACUCAGCUAGAAAGCUUGCAAAAGAUUUGAAUACCCCUUUUGAUUAUCUACAAGAAUUAGUAGAAGAACUCUCUGGUCGUCCCUUAAAAGAUGAUAUCAUUACUGGAGAUCUCGCAAAAGAUAUCGUUCUUUCUUUAGAUCGAAAAGUUGAUCUGAAAUUCACA